rnacentral:rRNA from 1 species
AAUGGGGGAAACCCUGAUGCAGCGACGCCGCGUGAACGAAGAAGCCUUUCGGGGUGUAAAGUUCUUUCGGCAGGGACGAUUAUGACUGUACCUGCAGAAGCAGCUGCGGCUAACUACGUGCCAGCAGCCGCGGUAAUACGUAGGCAGCAAGCGUUGUUCGGAAUUACUGGGCGUAAAGAGUGCGUAGGUGGUUGGCUAAGUUUGGUGUGAAAUCUCCCGGCUUAACUGGGAGGGUGCGCCGAAAACUGGCUGGCUAGAGUGUGGGAGAGGGAAGCGGAAUUCCUGGUGUAGCGGUGAAAUGCGUAGAUAUCAGGAGGAACGCCUGCGGUGUAGACGGCUUCCUGGACCAUGACUGACACUGAGGCACGAAAGCGUGGGUAGCAAA